GGAGGGUUGGCAGAAUGGCAAUGCGCCGGUUUCGAAAACCGGUGGGCGUAAGCCCUUAGAGGUUCGAGUCCUCUACCCUCCGCCU
rnacentral:tRNA from 2 species